AUUGAACGCUGGCGGCAUGCCUUACACAUGCAAGUCGAACGGCAGCACGGACUUCGGUCUGGUAGCGAGUGGCGAACGGGUGAGUAAUAUAUCGGAACAUACCUUGUAGUGGGGGAUAACUAUCCGAAAGGAUAGCUAAUACCGCAUACGCUCUAAGGAGGAAAGUGGGGGAUCGCAAGACCUCAUGCUAUAAGAGUGGCCGAUAUCUGAUUAGCUAGUAGGUGAGGUAAAGGCUCACCAAGGCAACGAUCAGUAGCUGGUCUGAGAGGACGACCAGCCACACUGGAACUGAGACACGGUCCAGACUCCUACGGGAGGCAGCAGUGGGGAAUUUUGGACAAUGGGGGCAACCCUGAUCCAGCAAUGCCGCGUGAGUGAAGAAGGCCUUCGGGUUGUAAAGCUCUUUUGUCAGGGAAGAAACGGUUGUGGCUAAUAUCCAUGGCUAAUGACGGUACCUGAAGAAUAAGCACCGGCUAACUACGUGCCAGCCGCCGCAGUAA
rnacentral:rRNA from 1 species